AUGCACGCUGGCGGCGUGCCUAAUCCAUGCAAGUCGAGCGAACGGACGAGAAGCUUGCUUCUCUGAUGUUAGCGGCGGACGGGUGAGUAACACGUGGAUAACCUACCUAUAAGACUGGGAUAACUUCGGGAAACCGGAGCUAAUACCGGAUAAUAUUUUGAACCGCAUGGUUCAAAAGUGAAAGACGGUCCUGCUGUCACUUAUAGAUGGAUCCGCGCUGCAUUAGCUAGUUGGUAAGGUAACGGCUUACCAAGGCAACGAUGCAUAGCCGACCUGAGAGGGUGAUCGGCCACACUGGAACUGAGACACGGUCCAGACUCCUACGGGAGGCAGCAGUAGGGAAUCUUCCGCAAUGGGCGAAAGCCUGACGGAGCAACGCCGCGUGAGUGAUGAAGGUCUUCGGAUCGUAAAACUCUGUUAUUAGGGAAGAACAUAUGUGUAAGUAACUGUGCACAUCUUGACGGUACCUAAUCAGAAAGCCACGGCUAACUACGUG
rnacentral:rRNA from 1 species